ACGAGGACACGCAGGCCUGGCGCGCCGGCCUGGGGCGCCCGCGAGGGGCGGAACGGGGGCUCGCGCCGCGUCCUCCGCCCCUCGCCGCGCUCCUGGACGCGGCUCCCGCGGGCCCGCCUCUGCCCGGGGGACACUCACAGGCGAAGCUCCCGUCUCCUGCGCGGCCCUUCCACUUCCCGAGGCUGGGAGGCACGAGCGGAUGGAGCUGGAGUCCGCGGGCUAAGGAAGCCAGAGCUGCCAUGUCAUGAGGGGCUCAAGCCACCCCAUGGAAAGGCUCACGUGAUGAAGAACCAAAGCCUCCUGCCAACAGCCAUAUGAGUGAACCAUAUUGGAAGUGGAUCCUGCAUCCCCAGUAAAGCCUUCAGGUGACUGCAGCUUGGGUGAUGCUGACUGAAACGUCAUGAGAGAUCCUGAGCAGAAUCACCCAGAUAAGCCACUCUCAGAUGACCCGCAGAGACUAUGAGAUGAUAAAUGUUUAUUGUUUUAAUAUGAGUGGCUGGAGAUUCCAUUUAACCCCUCCUCCAGGGAAGAAGAAGAAAUACCAGAAAUAGAUUUGCCUGAGGACAGGGAGUUGCCUUCUUGGACAGGGAGAAGAUAAAGGAGGAGAUCUGUGGCCCUGGAGACCAUCUACCCUGUCACC